ACGCAGCAGCAAUCAGGCUCACUGGACUUACUUUUCAGAUCAGUUUAUGCCUUUGCAUCUUGCUGUUCCAGUUUCAAGAAGUUAAGGAAGAUAACUGGAGAUGUGAUAACGAUACCAGAAGACUGAGAAGAAACUGACCCUCAUUAGAAAGAUGAUGGAGACCACAUUUCCC